rnacentral:rRNA from 1 species
AACGAACGCUGGCGGCAGGCCUAACACAUGCAAGUCGAGCGGAUGAGGGGAGCUUGCUCUCUGAUUCAGCGGCGGACGGGUGAGUAAUGCCUAGGAAUCUGCCUGGUAGUGGGGGACAACGUUUCGAAAGGAACGCUAAUACCGCAUACGUCCUACGGGAGAAAGUGGGGGAUCUUCGGACCUCACGCUAUCAGAUGAGCCUAGGUACGAUUAGCUAGUUGGUGAGGUAAAGGCUCACCAAGGCGACGAUCGUUAACUGGUCUGAGAGGAUGAUCAGUCACACUGGAACUGAGACACGGUCCAGACUCCUACGGGAGGCAGCAGUGGGGAAUAUUGGACAAUGGGCGAAAGCCUGAUCCAGCCAUGCCGCGUGUGUGAAGAAGGUCUUCGGAUUGUAAAGCACUUUAAGUUGGGAGGAAGGGCAGUAAGUUAAUACCUUGCUGUUUUGACGUUACCGACAGAAUAAGCACCGGCUAACUUCGUGCCAGCCGCCGCGUAACAC